rnacentral:rRNA from 1 species
AAUCAACGCUGGCGGCGUGCCUCAGACAUGCAAGUCGAACGCGAAAGUCCCCUUCGGGGGACAAGUAGAGUGGCGCACGGGUGAGUAACACGUAGGUAAUCUACCUUCGGAUGGGGAAUAACAACCGGAAACGGUUGCUAAUACCGCAUAAUGCAGCGGCACCUAAUGGUGACAGUUGUUAAAGCGGGGGAUCGUUAAGACCUCGCGUCUGAAGAGGAGCCUGCGGCGGAUUAGCUAGNGGUAGGGUAACGGCCUACCAAGGCGACGAUCCGUAGCCGGCCUGAGAGGGGCGGUCGGCCACACUGACACUGACAUACGGGUCAGACUCCUACGGGAGGCAGCAGUCGGGAAUUUUGGGCAAUGGGCGAAAGCCUGACCCAGCAACGCCGCGUGAAGGAUGAAAUCCCUCGGGAUGUAAACUUCGCAAGAACGGGAAGAAUAAGCGAGAGUAAAUACCUUUCGCGAUGACGGUACCGUUUGUAAGCUCCGGCUAACUCCGUGCCAGCA